GUAUCUCUUUCCAUCCUCUU
rnacentral:sRNA from 1 species